UACGUAGGGUGCGAGCGUUAAUCGGAAUUACUGGGCGUAAAGCGUGCGCAGGCGGUUCGCUGUGUCCGAUGUUAAAGCCCCGGGCUUAACCUGGGAAUGGCAUUGGAAACUGGCGGGCUUGAGUGCGGCAGAGGAGAGUGGAAUUCCUGGUGUAGAGGUGAAAUUCGUAGAUAUCAGGAGGAACACCGGCGGCGAAGGCGGCUACCUGGUCCACAACUGACGUUCAGGUACGAAAGCGUGGGGAGCAAACAGG
rnacentral:rRNA from 1 species